rnacentral:ncRNA from 1 species
GCGUGGGUCGGCCUGCCGUCGAGGACCCGGCGGGUCGGGGGACGCCGCCGCCGUACAUCCCCGCGCGGCGGCGGACCGGCCCGGGGGGUGUGCGGACACCCCCCGGGCCGCG